UUUACACAUGUCAAGUCGAACGAUGAAGCCCAGCUUGCUGGGUGGAUUAGUGGCGAACGGGUGAGUAACACGUGAGUAACCUGCCCUUGACUCUGGGAUAAGCCUGGGAAACUGGGUCUAAUACCGGAUAGGAACGUCCACCGCAUGGUGGUUGUUGGAAAGAUUUAUCGGUCAUGGAUGGACUCGCGGCCUAUCAGCUUGUUGGUGAGGUAAUGGCUCACCAAGGCGACGACGGGUAGCCGGCCUGAGAGGGUGACCGGCCACACUGGGACUGAGACACGGCCCAGACUCCUACGGGAGGCAGCAGUGGGGAAUAUUGCACAAUGGGCGAAAGCCUGAUGCAGCGACGCCGCGUGAGGGAUGACGGCCUUCGGGUUGUAAACCUCUUUCAGUAGGGAAGAAGCGAAAGUGACGGUACCUGCAGAAGAAGCACCGGCUAACUACGUGCCAGCAGCCGCGGUAAUACGUAGGGUGCGAGCGUUAUCCGGAAUUAUUGGGCGUAAAGAGCUCGUAGGCGGUUUGUCGCGUCUGUCGUGAAAGUCCGGGGCUUAACCCCGGAUCUGCGGUGGGUACGGGCAGACUAGAGUGCAGUAGGGGAGACUGGAAUUCCUGGUGUAGCGGUGGAAUGCGCAGAUAUCAGGAGGAACACCGAUGGCGAAGGCAGGUCUCUGGGCUGUAACUGACGCUGAGGAGCGAAAGCAUGGGGAGCGAACAGGAUUAGAUACCCUGGUAGUCCAUGCCGUAAACGUUGGGCACUAGGUGUGGGGACCAUUCCACGGUUUCCGCGCCGCAGCUAACGCAUUAAGUGCCCCGCCUGGGGAGUACGGCCGCAAGGCUAAAACUCAAAGGAAUUGACGGGGGCCCGCACAAGCGGCGGAGCAUGCGGAUUAAUUUCGAUGCAACGCGAAGAACCUUACCAAGGCUUGACAUGUUCUCGAUCGCCGUAGAGAUACGGUUUCCCCUUUGGGGCCGGGAUCACAGGUGGUGCAUGGAUUGUCGUCAGCUCGUGUCGUGAGAUGUUGGGUUAAGUCCCGCAACGAGCGCAACCCUCGUUCCAUGUUGCCAGCACGUAAUGGUGGGGACUCAUGGGAGACUGCCGGGGUCAACUCGGAGGAAGGUGGGGACGACGUCAAAUCAUCAUGCCCCUUAUGUCUUGGGCUUCACGCAUGCUACAAUGGCCGGUACAAUGGGUUGCGAUACUGUGAGGUGGAGCUAAUCCCAAAAAGCCGGUCUCAGUUCGGAUUGGGGUCUGCAACUCGACCCCAUGAAGUCGGAGUCGCUAGUAAUCGCAGAUCAGCAACGCUGCGGUGAAUACGUUCCCGGGCCUUGUACACACCGCCCGUCAAGUCACGAAAGUCGGUAACACCCGAAGCCGGUGGCCUAACCCUUGUGGGGGAGCCGUCGAAGUGAC
rnacentral:rRNA from 1 species